GUUUGGAAGUAAGGGCAUCACGAGGGAGCCUGGAGAUGGAAGCACUCAGGGCCGAGGGCACUUGCGAGCAAGGGCUGCUGGACGCACGGCACAGCCCCUCGGCGAUGGCACUCGAGGCUGAGGUUCUUUGGUGGUGAAAGCAUACAGGGCUAAGAGGGGAUGAGAGCGAAGAUAGAAAUAAUUUUGCUGUGGAUCCAAAUGGUGGCAUCGUGCUGUACUGACUUCGUCUCUUGUCUUCAUUCCACUAGCUUUUCACAAGGACGUGCUUUGGAGGCAUGACUUUACAAAGGUGUUGCUUUACAAUCUUUUUAAAAAUGAGUUAUUUCAGCAUAAAACUAUGUAAAAAUUACGCCUUGUGGAUGCACAAUGGUAUUUUUAUUGCAUUCUUAGAUACGGCUCACUGAACAGUAAAACCAAUUUUCAUGUGAUCUUAAAGAGGGCAGAAGUCUUUGUCACGCUUUGAAAAAUAACUUUUGCACAAAUUUGUUUAUUGGAGUUAUUAAUUUCUGUGAAUAUUCAGGCAGUGCUCCGUUGGCCUUAGCAGCGACAAAGAAAGAAUGGCAAGCAGAUUUUAUUAAACUAGAUUACAUUGGAUGGCUUACAUUUCCUUUCUCUGUUCAUCCAUUUAAAAGAAAAGAAAAUGCAACACUUCAUCUGAUACCAGUUCUGUUGCGUGAGUCCAACUGAGGGAUUGCUCAAGGGUACCUUUGUACCACGUCAAACUUCAGGAUUUUUACUACUCCAGCACAGUGGACUGUGACAGAGAUACAGGUAAUAUUAAUCACCAUGGAAUCAUAGAAUGGCCUGGGUUGAAAAGGACCACAAUGCUCAUUCAGUUUCAACCCCCUGCUGUGUGCAGGGUCACCAACCAGCAGACCAGGCUGCCCAGAGCCACAUCCAGCCUGGCCUUGAAUGCCUCCAGGGAUGGGGCAUCCACAGCCUCCUUGGGCAACCUGUUCAGUGCGUCACCACCCUCUGUGUGAAAAACUUCUUCCUAAUAUCCAACCUAAACCUCCCUUGUCUCAGUUUAAAACCAUUCCCCCUUAUGCUAUCACUAUCCACCUUCGUAAACAACCGAUGCCCCUCCUGUUUGUAUGCUCCCUUCAAGUACUGGAAGGCCAAAUAAAGGAAAUAUCCACAUUUUCCUCAGUUCUUCUCACUGGAGAAUUGAGAAUCUGUUUAUGCUGGGGUAACUGGUCUUUUUUCUCUAUUGGCUUACUUUCUCUGAGAUUCCAUUUGAAAUGUGUGUGUAAGAAAAGCACAGCGAUGGGUAGACAGGGAGCAUUUUAAUCAGUGCAAUACGACAGUGUAUCCCCUAGCCAUAGAAUAGUUGCAAUGCGAUACCUAAGUAAUAAGCUGCACUGCUGUGCAAGAGAGUAAAAAAAAAAGACCUUAAAAACAGCAGUAAAAAUCUGCUGUGUGAAAAACAUAACAUCCAGAUCCUAAAACAAGGUUAAGAUUAAAUCUGCUUGUCCAGGAGCAUGCGUGCAAGCAGGUCUUUUCACUGUAAAGAUGGGUGAGGGGAUUAUGAGGAAAGUGUGAAAAAUAAAGUUUUCUUUGUGUGUUUUGCCCCACAUUAACAAAUUGCCAUUGCACGAUAGCAACACUGCAGUAAUUAUGUCACUAUUUUUCAUUCGUGAUAGAUUAUUGUUAGUAAUUCAUCAUCGUAACGUAUUAAUAUCGGUAUUAGUUUUUAAACAGAACAAUCAUAUUAGCAGCAAACGUGUCAUAUUAGUGAAAAUUAACAAAACGAUGAAAAAUUGCUACCAAGGCUUUGGGGCUCCAACACUGCAAGGAAAUCACUUUUUUCCAACCCAG
ensembl:lncRNA